rnacentral:rRNA from 1 species
UUUUAAUGUAAAUCUUAGUACUAAAGUAGUAUUAGAUAUGGACUUGAAACUUAAAGAAUUUGGCGGUAUUAUAAUCUUUUUAGAGGAAUCUGUCCCGUUAUUGAUAAUCCACAUUGGACCUUACUUAAAUUAAAGGUAUGUAUAUCGCCGUAUAUUGAGAAUAUUAAAAGGUUUAAAAUUUUCGGGAAUUUUUAUUUUAUAAUAGUUCAGGUCAAGGUGCAGUAUAUAUUUAAGUGGAGAUGGAUUACAAUGUCUUAAAGUAUAAAUGGAUUAUUUAAUGAAAUGGAAAUAUAAAGGUGGAUUUAAUAGUAAGGUUAUAAAGAUUAUUAACUUGAUUAUAGCUCUAUAGUGUGU